CAAUAGCGUAUAUUUAAGUUGCUGUAGUUAAAAAGCUCGUAGUUGGAUUUCGGGUGGGAAUGGCCGGUCCGCCGUUUCGGUGUGCACUUGCUACGCCCACCUUGCUGCCGGGGACGUGCUCUUGAGUUCACGCUCGGGACACGGAGUCGGCGAGGUUACUUUGAGUAAAUUAGAGUGUUCAAAGCAGGCCUACGCUCUGAAUACAUUAGCAUGGAAUAACACGAUAGGACUCUGGCCUAUCUUGUUGGUCUGUAGGACCGGAGUAAUGAUUAAGAGGGACAGUCGGGGGCAUUCGUAUUUCAUUGUCAGAGGUGAAAUUCUUGGAUUUAUGAAAGACGAACUACUGCGAAAGCAUUUGCCAAGGAUGUUUUCAUUAA
rnacentral:rRNA from 1 species